CUUGCCGCCUCCCAGAGCCCCCAGGACCCAUCCCUGAGCUGUUUGGGGAGACACAGGCAACCCCUUCUUUGGCUGGCUAGGGUUUCACGAGCCUCGGGAAAGAAGAUGCAGCUAAAAUUAACCGCUAUCAAGCUGUCAGCCCUGGAAAUAAACCUGCCUCCCAUUGGCUGCCGGUGACGUCACUGCUGGGUUAAUAAUAGCCGCCGAGUGCCUAACGAACCACCUGUGCAUGGGGCACAGCCAGGCCAUCACCCCGGGGCCACCGUCGCAGGCAGGUGGAGGCUGGCAGCCCAGAGGCAGACAGGGGCUUGGAGGCAGGGUGGGGAGCAAGGCCAAGGCCGCUCUCUGGCCCCCAGUGUCACAGGAUGACCUCAGCCCUGGCCUGGCCCCAGAGCAGGUUGGUUCACUGCUGGGCCCUGUGGACUUGUUCUCAUGCUUUGUCAGUGUCGAUGUCGAAAGCCCAAAGUGUUUCCCAAGUCCUGCUACCUUGCCCAUAGAACACAGAAAGGUGAUAAGUCACUCUGUGAUUGGCUGCAUCAUUCCAGGCUCUGUCCUGGGGGACGGAGCAGCAAGACACCCCUGCUGUCUGUGAAGAUAUGGCUGUUGGAAGGCAUGGGAGGGGCCUCGUAUCAGGGAACCAGUGAGUGGCCCCAGGCUGCCAGCCAACAAGAAAGCAGGGACCUCAGUCCUACAGCCACAAGGAACUGAAUUCUGCCAACAACCACGUGGCCUUCAAAGAGGACCUCAAGCUUCAGAAAGAAAUACCAACACCUUGGUGGCACUCUUGAAACCCCGAGCCACCCAGCGGAAUUGUGUGUGGGCUCCUGACCCCCCAAAACUGAGAAUAAAUGCAUGUUUUUUA
rnacentral:lncRNA from 1 species